AGAGAUGGGGUUUGAUGGUUGAAAUUUGUAUUGCGGUUUUGUUCUAUUACGUGUAGGAUUUUGCUUCAUUCAUGAAAACCUCUCGUUUUCAUCUAUUUUUUCUCUCUACCACAGUUGUUUAUCAUGCAUCUUCUCUAAGAAGACACUUCUUACGAUUUUGUAUUGGGCAAACAAAAGGUUAUUAAGUUGUGUCCCAAAACCCAAGUGGCUUCAACGGUUUUGUAUUUGAUUGUAGUUGGUAGUGCA
rnacentral:lncRNA from 1 species